rnacentral:misc_RNA from 1 species
ACUCCACUUUGACCCCCACCACCUAUCUCCAUCUUUGACUGUAUAAUAAUUAUUAUGUGAAAUUACAGGGACUGAAUUACAAAAAUUUUGUUUCCCUGUAAUCUAGAGCUAAACUGGGAGAGAGAGAAAGAAUACCCAUGAAAAGGCAAAAGCUGGAAGUGAAUGAAGAAAAAGGUUAUUGUGGUAGCGGUUGUGGCUACUCUACGUUGAUUUUCUUAAAAGCAUUUUUUUUUUUUACAAUUAUAAUUAUUAUUUCUAAUAAAAGACUCCUCAAAAGAAAAGGAAAUAUGUUGAAAGCACCGACACAAUCAAUAAUAAUAAUAAUAACUUGCUGGAUAGUAUAAAUAUUUCUAUUGGUCCUUUUUGUUUAUUCAACAAAAGCUUAGCUGCUCGUACCUCAUAAGAUAUGGUGGUAGUUGGCCAUCCGCCAUGUUAAAAGCUCCCCAAAAUCCUCACAAAUUUCACCUAUAUAGCCUAUAGCUAGAGAUGUAGGUGUAAAUACCCUCUUCUCUCUCUUGGAUUUUUUCUCUGUGUUGUGGAAUCAAAUUUGCACACUAAUGAUGGGAGAUGGCGUAUUAUAUGAGCUAAGGGAAAUUUAGAGGGAAUUCAAUAAUGGAAAAG